GUACGUAGGGUGCAAGCGUUGUCCGGAAUUAUUGGGCGGUAAAGAGCUUGUAGGCGGUUUGUCGCGUCUGGCUGUGAAAUUUCGGGGCUCAACCCCGAACUUGCAGUGGGUACGGGCAGACUAGAGUGUGGGUAGGGGAGACUGGAAUUCCUGGUGUAGCGGUGAAAUGCGCAGAUAUCAGGAGGAACACCGAUGGCGAAGGCAGGUCUCUGGGGCCAUAACUGACGCUGAGAAGCGAAAGCAUGGGGAGCGAACAGG
rnacentral:rRNA from 1 species